rnacentral:rRNA from 1 species
GAUGAACGCUGACAGAAUGCUUAACACAUCAGCAAUUGAUUGGUGGCGGACGGGUGAGUAACGCGUAAAGAACUUGCCUCCCAGCUAGGGACAACAUAUGGUAACGAAUGCUAAUACCUAAUACUGUGAGAGAGCUUUGCGUCCCAUUAGCUAGUUGGAGAGGUAACGGCUCACCAAGGCGCUGAUGGGUGGCCUGCCGGGGAGGGUGAUCGGCCACAAGGGGACUGGGACACGGCCCUUACUCCUACGGGAGGCAGGAGUGGGGAAUAUUGGACAAUGGACCAAAGUCUGAUCCAGCAAUUCGGUGUGCACGAUGAAGUUUUCGGAAUGUAAAGUGCUGUCAGGUGAGAAGCGGUACCAACAGAAGAAGGGACGGCUAAAUACGUGCCAGCAGCCGCGGUAAUUC